AUUGAACGCUGGCGGCAGGCUUAACACAUGCAAGUCGAGCGGAGACUUCGGUCUUAGCGGCGAACGGGUGAGUAAUACCUAGGAAUCUGCCUAUUAGUGGGGGAUAACGAAUCGAAAGGUUCGCUAAUACCGCAUACGUCCUACGGGAGAAAGAGGGGGAUCUUCGGACCUCUUGCUAAUAGAUGAGCCUAGGCCGGAUUAGCUAGUUGGUAGGGUAAAGGCCUACCAAGGCGACGAUCUGUAGCUGGUCUGAGAGGAUGGCCAGCCACACUGGAACUGAGACACGGUCCAGACUCCUACGGGAGGCAGCAGUGGGGAAUAUUGGACAAUGGGGGCGAACCCUGAUCCAGCCAUGCCGCGUGUGUGAAGAAGGCCUCGUU
rnacentral:rRNA from 1 species